GGCCUGCCUUAAAGGUAUAGGCGUUCGGGCCGGCCUCCCCGCAGGUCGCGCCCGCCCCCGCCCCCGCCGGCGCGUCCCUAUUUUAUUGUUCUCUUUGCGAACGUCUUUCUUCCUCUCCGCGAGUCCCGCCCGCGCCCGCGCUCCCGCGUCCUCCCACGCGCGGACCGACCCGGGCGCGCACGCCUUACCUUUCCAGCCCCCACCCCCGCGGGCUCCGGGGGACCCGCGAAAGGGUUUCUCAGCCGCUGAGCGUGCCGGAGCGCGGCCCGGCCGCAGGAGAAAGGGCUUAGCUUGCGAAGUGCCCCCACCCCCGCGGCCAGGCCACCUCGCUUCUCGGGUCAGAAACCUAAGUGUCCAGAUGGCCUAUGCGGAGCGGAAAGGAACUUUCCUAGUGGACUUUUUUUUUUCCGGGAAUGGAUUAGACGCCAUUAAGUAGACAUUUUUCAGUGGCCCCUCCGGACUCCGGGGCUGUGGCAGGUGACCUCCCCAGGGAGAAACCGGGAGCGCGUAAAGGCGAGCCCCGCGCACCGCCCGCGCUUCGACGGAGCCUACACGCUCCGGUUAAGCGCAGUAGGCACCGCACGCGCUCUGCCCAUGGAACCCCACCUCCACCCCACCCCCGCCAGCGACAGGGGGAGAAUUUAAAGGGGGACAUUCUGUAUUCCUUAUUAGGGGAAAGUUUCCCCUUAGUUUGUAAAAGUCUGCGAUACUCCAAGUUUUUCCGCCGACCCCCAAAAGACUUUCUUCCCAUCCGCAUCAGAAGUUGGCUGAACCAGAAUGGGGAGGAAAUGAGCUCUGACCUCCAGAAGAAGAAUGUAGACUGGACAUACGGACAGGUGCUCUGGUGGCAGGUGAUGGCGGAAGUCCCUGUGAGCAUCGUGGAGGGCCACCAUCAGAGCCGCUCCCCAGAGGCAUGGGAUGCAGAGCUGAACAUCAGUAUGUGCAACAAUGCUGUGCAAUGUCAAAGUGCCAAGGGGCCCUGUGUGUGUGUGUGGGUGUGUGUGUGUGCAACAAGUGCACAAGUCACCACACUACUGGGUCUCAGGGCUUUCCCCAGAUGUGGGAAGAGUACAAGGCAAAUACAGAAUAACCAGCCUUUGAUAAAGAGUCUACAAGAAUAUGCCUUCAGGCUAAUAAAACAGAGAAUAGGGGCAGUUCUUCAAAAGUAGAAUCAAAUGCUUUUCUAUUGACAUAAAGGUUUACAACCUAAAGCUGA